rnacentral:rRNA from 1 species
AGUGAACGCUGGCGGUAGGCCUAACACAUGCAAGUCGAACGGCAGCACAAGAGGGCUUGCUCUCUGGGUGGCGAGUGGCGGGCGGGUGGGGAAUACAUCGGAAUCUACUCUGUCGUGGGGGAUAGCGUAGGGAAACUUACGCUAAUACCGCAUACGACCUACGGGUGAAAGCAGGGGACCUUCGGGCCUUGCGCGAUUGAAUGAGCCGAUGUCGGAUUAGCUAGUUGGCGGGGUAAAGGCCCACCAAGGCGACGAUCCGUAGCUGGUCUGAGAGGAUGAUCAGCCACACUGGUACUGAGACACGGUCCAGACUCCUACGGGAGGCAGCAGUGGGGAAUAUUGGACAAUGGGCGCAAGCCUGAUCCAGCCAUACCGCGUGGGUGAAGAAGGCCUUCGGGUUGUAAAGUCCUUUUGUUGGGAAAGAAAUCCAGCUGGCUAAUACCCGGUUGGGAUGACGGUACCCAAAGAAUAAGCACCGGCUAACUUCGUGCCAGCAGCCGCAGUAA